rnacentral:rRNA from 2 species
GACGACGCUGGCGGCGUGCCUAAUACAUGCAAGUCCGAACGAACUCUGGUAUUGAUUGGUGCUUGCAUCAUGAUUUACAUUUGAGUGAGUGGCGAACUGGUGAGUAACACGUGGGAAACCUGCCCAGAAGCGGGGGAUAACACCUGGAAACAGAUGCUAAUACCGCAUAACAACUUGGACCGCAUGGUCCGAGCUUGAAAGAUGGCUUCGGCUAUCACUUUUGGAUGGUCCCGCGGCGUAUUAGCUAGAUGGUGGGGUAACGGCUCACCAUGGCAAUGAUACGUAGCCGACCUGAGAGGGUAAUCGGCCACAUUGGGACUGAGACACGGCCCAAACUCCUACGGGAGGCAGCAGUAGGGAAUCUUCCACAAUGGACGAAAGUCUGAUGGAGCAACGCCGCGUGAGUGAAGAAGGGUUUCGGCUCGUAAAACUCUGUUGUUAAAGAAGAACAUAUCUGAGAGUAACUGUUCAGGUAUUGACGGUAUUUAACCAGAAAGCCACGGCUAACUACGUGCCAGCAGCCGCGGUAAUACGUAGGUGGCAAGCGUUGUCCGGAUUUAUUGGGCGUAAAGCGAGCGCAGGCGGUUUUUUAAGUCUGAUGUGAAAGCCUUCGGCUCAACCGAAGAAGUGCAUCGGAAACUGGGAAGACUUGAGUGCAGAAGAGGACAGUGGAACUCCAUGUGUAGCGGUGAAAUGCGUAGAUAUAUGGAAGAACACCAGUGGCGAAGGCGGCUGUCUGGUCUGUAACUGACGCUGAGGCUCGAAAGUAUGGGUAGCAAACAGGAUUAGAUACCCUGGUAGUCCAUACCGUAAACGAUGAAUGCUAAGUGUUGGAGGGUUUCCGCCCUUCAGUGCUGCAGCUAACGCAUUAAGCAUUCCGCCUGGGGAGUACGGCCGCAAGGCUGAAACUCAAAGGAAUUGACGGGGGCCCGCACAAGCGGUGGAGCAUGUGGUUUAAUUCGAAGCUACGCGAAGAACCUUACCAGGUCUUGACAUACUAUGCAAAUCUAAGAGAUUAGACGUUCCCUUCGGGGACAUGGAUACAGGUGGUGCAUGGUUGUCGUCAGCUCGUGUCGUGAGAUGUUGGGUUAAGUCCCGCAACGAGCGCAACCCUUAUUAUCAGUUGCCAGCAUUAAGUUGGGCACUCUGGUGAGACUGCCGGUGACAAACCGGAGGAAGGUGGGGAUGACGUCAAAUCAUCAUGCCCCUUAUGACCUGGGCUACACACGUGCUACAAUGGAUGGUACAACGAGUUGCGAACUCGCGAGAGUAAGCUAAUCUCUUAAAGCCAUUCUCAGUUCGGAUUGUAGGCUGCAACUCGCCUACAUGAAGUCGGAAUCGCUAGUAAUCGCGGAUCAGCAUGCCGCGGUGAAUACGUUCCCGGGCCUUGUACACACCGCCCGUCACACCAUGAGAGUUUGUAACACCCAAAGUCGGUGGGGUAACCUUUUAGGAACCAGCCGCCUAAGGUGGGACAGAUGAUUAGG